GACGAACGCUGACGGCGUGCUUAACACAUGCAAGUCGAAGGUAGUGGCGCACGGGUGAGUAACACGUGAGUCACCUGCCCUUUUCUUUGGGAUCAGACUGGGAACCUGGGUCUAAUACUUGAUGGAUUGGGCUGGGCUGGCGGCUUAUCAGCUUGUUGGUGGGGUGAUGGCUUAUCAAGGCUUUGACGGGUCGCCGGCCUGAGAGGGUGGUCUGUCACAGUGGGACGGAGAUAACUCCCAGAGUCCUCCGCGGGGGAGCAGUGGGGGAUAUUGCACAAUGGAUGAAAGUCCGAUGCAGCGUGGUCGAGGGGGGGAUGAGGGCCUUCGGGUUGUAAACGCCGGGCGGCAGCGGAAUGGUAGUGAGUAAAGAAGCGCCGGCUAACUACGUGCCAGCAGCCGCGGUAAUAC
rnacentral:rRNA from 1 species